rnacentral:rRNA from 1 species
AGCAUGUGGUUUAAUUCGAUGCAACGCGAAGACCUUACCUGGGCUUGACAUCCCGAGAAUCCCUGGAACAGGGAGUGCCUUUCGGGGAACUCGGAGACAGGUGCUGCAUGGCUGUCGUCAGCUCGUGUCGUGAGAUGUUGGGUUAAGUCCCGCAACGAGCGCAACCCUUGUCUUUAAUUGCCAGCAUUCAGUUGGGCACUUUAAAGAGACUGCCGGUGUUAAGCCGGAGGAAGGUGGGGAUGACGUCAAGUCCUCAUGGCCUUUAUGCCCAGGGCUACACACGUGCUACAAUGGGUGGUACAAAGAGAUGCCAACUCGCGAGAGCGCGCCAAUCUCAGAAAGCCAUCCUCAGUUCGGAUUGGAGUCUGCAACUCGACUCCAUGAAGUUGGAAUCGCUAGUAAUCGCGGAUCAGCACGCCGCGGUGAAUACGUUCCCGGGCCUU